CAUCUAAGUACCCCGAGGAAAAGAAAUCAACCGAGAUUCCCCCAGUAGCGGCGAGCGAACGGGGAGGAGCCCAGAGCCUGAAUCAGCAUGUGUGUUAGUGGAAGCGUCUGGAAAGGCGCGCGAUACAGGGUGACAGCCCCGUACACAAAAGCGCAUGUGCUGUGAGCUCGAUGAGUAGGGCGGGACACGUGGUAUCCUGUCUGAAUAUGGGGGGACCAUCCUCCAAGGCUAAAUACUCCUGACUGACCGAUAGUGAACCAGUACCGUGAGGGAAAGGCGAAAAGAACCCCGGCGAGGGGAGUGAAAAAGAACCUGAAACCGUGUACGUACAAGCAGUGGGAGCACAGGUUUACCUGUGUGACUGCGUACCUUUUGUAUAAUGGGUCAGCGACUUAUAUUCUGUAGCAAGGUUAACCGAAUAGGGGAGCCGGAGGGAAACCGAGUCUUAAUUGGGCGUUAAGUUGCAGGGUAUAGACCCGAAACCCGGUGAUCUAGCCAUGGGCAGGUUGAAGGUUGGGUAACACUAACUGGAGGACCGAACCGACUAAUGUUGAAAAAUUAGCGGAUGACCUGUGGCUGGGGGUGAAAGGCCAAUCAAACCGGGAGAUAGCUGGUUCUCCCCGAAAGCUAUUUAGGUAGCGCCUCGUGAAUUCAUCUCCGGGGGUAGAGCACUGUUUCGGCUAGGGGGCCAUCCCGGCUUACCAACCCGAUGCAAACUGCGAAUACCGGAGAAUGUUAUCACGGGAGACACACGGCGGGUGCUAACGUCCGUCGUGAAGAGGGAAACAACCCAGACCGCCAGCUAAGGUCCCAAAGUCAUGGUUAAGUGGGAAACGAUGUGGGAAGGCCCAGACAGCCAGGAUGUUGGCUUAGAAGCAGCCAUCAUUUAAAGAAAGCGUAAUAGCUCACUGGUCGAGUCGGCCUGCGCGGAAGAUGUAACGGGGCUAAACCAU
rnacentral:rRNA from 1 species